rfam:Ovis aries breed Texel chromosome 18, whole genome shotgun sequence.
UCCCUGGUGGCUCAGAUAGUAAAGAAUCUGCCUGAAAUGCAGAAGACCUGGGUUCGAUCCCUGGGUCAGAGAG